ensembl:piRNA 21ur-5355 ncRNA
UGGUGUACGCCUAUAUCCCAC